rnacentral:rRNA from 1 species
GAUGAACGCUGGCGGCGUGCCUAAUACAUGCAAGUCGAGCGAACAGACGAGGAGCUUGCUCCUCUGACGUUAGCGGCGGACGGGUGAGUAACACGUGGAUAACCUACCUAUAAGACUGGGAUAACUUCGGGAAACCGGAGCUAAUACCGGAUAAUAUAUUGAACCGCAUGGGUCAAUAGUGAAAGACGGUUUUGCUGUCACUUAUAGAUGGAUCCGCGCCGCAUUAGCUAGUUGGUAAGGUAACGGCUUACCAAGGCAACUAUGCGUAGCCGACCUGAGAGGCUGAUAGCCCACACUGGAGCUGAGACACGGUCCAGACUCCUACGGGAGGCAGCAGUAGGGAAUCUUCCGCAGUGGUCGAGAGCCUGACGGAGCAACGCCACGUGAGUGAUGAAGGUCUUCGGAUCGUAAAACUCUGUUAUUAGGGAAGAACAAAUGUGUAAGUAACUGUGCACGUCUUGACGGUACCUAAUCAGAAAGCAACGGCUAACUACGUG